UCACCAGUACACCAUUGAAGUAGUGGCUGAAUGUAGGUCUCAGAGAUGUAUUGGAAUGCUGUGUUUUGUUCAGGUCCAGAAGUUGCCGCAGGCUUCAAGCUUGGACUUCUCUUCAUCGUCUGUCCCUUCUUCGCCGAUUUCCCCAACUGUCGCCUCAGGUCGUGAUGUUUCGCGUGUCGUCUGUGUUGGUUAGUCUCUUCUACGUAUUUUUUUUUCUCUAUUAUACACUAAUACAGUUCUCAAGCUGAACUUCUAUGGAACAUACAUCGAGUAUCACGAACAGUCAUUUGAGUCACUUGCACAAUCGCGGCAAGGUCCAAUGAAAAGCCGUCAAGGAACGGAAAACAGAAACACACAAAAUUGACCAGAGAGAAACUG